UACGAAGGGGGCUAGCGUUGCUCGGAAUUACUGGGCGUAAAGGGCUCGUAGGCGGCCAACUAAGUCAGACGUGAAAUCCCUCAGCUUAACUGGGGAACUGCGUCUGAUACUGGAUGGCUUGGAUUUGGGAGAGGGAUGCGGAAUUCCAGGUGUAGCGGUGAAAUGCGUAGAUAUCUGGAGGAACACCGGUGGCGAAGGCGGCAUCCUGGACCAAUAUUGACGCUGAGGAGCGAAAGCCAGGGGAGCAAACGGG
rnacentral:rRNA from 1 species